rnacentral:lncRNA from 1 species
CUGUUCUAGGAUAAAAGGGGAUAAGUAGGUUUAAAUAGUGGUAGAGGAAAAAAAGAGACUUUUGACCUACAGAAAAGGAGUAAGGCAGGUGUUGCAAAGGAGGAAUGUAGAGAGAAAGCACAGUGAUUUUGGCAGCUGAUGGAAAAAGAGGGGAACUCAGGAAUUAAUGGGUGAUGUUUAGCAGGUGUGGUUGAUGCUGCUGGUGCCUCGCCCAGGCCCUCUAUACCUACCAGAGCACCAGAGCCCAGAUGUAACAGUGUUGGCUGAUAAUAACUGACCCAUCCCCCUUCUCCAAAUGGAAGCCACUGUCCCUAGAAGGUUAGCCUACCCUCCCUUCACUCCAGGAGGCAGCCCAGGGGUACAAAAAGCUUGGUUCUUUUGCCUCAAGAUGAGAAGAUAGGAUCAACUUUGUGGUGUAAUUCAUGUUCCAGAGCCUCUUGUGCAAUCAAUCUGAGACUCAAUUCUGAUGAAAUCCCCAUUCUUGCCUAGUCUUCUAUUCCCCCUCUUACUCAUCUUCCCCCGAAGUACUCUCCCACACAUCUCCUAACAAGAAUCCCAUCUCAGAUUCUGCUACGAGGACACCUGACCUAAGACAGGAAGAUUUACACUGUACCUGUGAUGCUACCCACUUUCUCCAUGCUCCCUGUCCCAGGAAAUCUCAGGAAUGCAGGCAUAGUUGAUCACCGAGGUGGUAGAGAGGAACUUGGCAGAUGACUCACAUCAGCCUGCUAAACUGUGACCACCACUUGUGCCUCAGAAGAAGUAAAGUUUAAGACAUCUGGAAGCUUCUCCAUUUGAAAAAUGCUCAUCCACAAAGGAUCCAAUGAACAUCUUGCCUCAAUGGCCAGACUUUAAAACAGCGAGCACAUCAUUGUAUGCAGGCUCUCAAGGCAAUGGUUCUAAGUUCCCUCACCUCUGGGCCCAGGUAUCUGAGUGAUGAUCCCAGUUCUUCCUCCUAGAAUACUAACACAGGGACAGUCGCCAAAAACUUUGGGAGGCACAGAUCAUCAGAGGCUCUGCUCUCAGAUUUAGAGUUGAAUCCUGGUUGGUCCCUUACUGACUAUGUGACAGUAAAUGAGUAAGUUUCACCCCUCUAAGCCUCCCCUUCUUCUUCUUCUUGACAAUGGAAAGUAGGAUAGUGAAUCAAGAGAAACUGUA